rnacentral:rRNA from 1 species
UACAGAGGGGGCAAGGCGUUAUUCGGAAUUAUUGGGCGUAAAGGGCGCGUAGGCGGCUUGGCAAGUGGAAGGUGAAAUCCCUCGGCUUAACCGAGGAACUGCCCUCCAAACUGCUUUGCUUGAGGCCGGGAGAGGUGAGUGGAAUUCCCAGUGUAGCGGUGAAAUGCGUAGAUAUCUGGAGGAAUACCGGUGGCGAAGGCGGCUUGCCAGAACGCACUCGACGGUGAGGGAUGAAAGCUGGGGGAGCAAACCGG